rnacentral:rRNA from 1 species
GCAUAUCAAUAAGCGGAGGAAAAGAAACCGACCGGGAUUGCCUUAGUAACGGCGAGUGAAGCGGCAAAAGCUCAAAUUUGAAAUCUGGUACCUUCGGUGCCCGAGUUGUAAUUUGUAGAAGGUAACUUUGGGGCUGGUCCUUGUCUAUGUUCCUUGGAACAGGACGUCAUAGAGGGUGAGAAUCCCGUGUGGCGAGGAUCCCAGUUCUUUGUAAAGUGCUUUCGAAGAGUCGAGUUGUUUGGGAAUGCAGCUCUAAGUGGGUGGUAAAUUCCAUCUAAAGCUAAAUAUUGGCGAGAGACCGAUAGCGAACAAGUACAGUGAUGGAAAGAUGAAAAGAACUUUGAAAAGAGAGUGAAAAAGUACGUGAAAUUGUUGAAAGGGAAGGGCAUUUGAUCAGACAUGGUGUUUUGCGCCCUCUACUCCUUGUGGGUGGAGGAAUCUCGCAGCUCACUGGGCCAGCAUCAGUUUUGCCGCCUGGAUAGAUCUUCAGGAAUGUAGCUCGCCUCGCUAAGUGUUAUAGUCUGGCAAAAUACUGCCAGCCGGGACUGAGGACUGCGACUUUUAGUCAAGGAUGCUGGCAUAAUGGUUAUAUGCCGCCCGUCUUGAAACACGGACCAAGGAGUCUAACGUCUAUGCGAGUGUUUGGGUGUAAAACC